CGUUGAAACACUACUUCCCAUACGAUCAUGGAAGCUAAGCAACGUCGAGCCUGGUUAGUACCUUGAUGAGUGACCACUUAUGAAUAAAAGGUACUGUA